rnacentral:tRNA from 1 species
UGCCACCGCCAGCGGGACGACCGCGCUGCCGCUCGUGCCGGUAGUGAAGGAGGCAUAGGCCAGAUCGUUGCCGGUGGCGACAU